rnacentral:rRNA from 1 species
GUGGGGAAUAUUGGACAAUGGGCGAAAGCCUGAUCCAGCCAUGCCGCGUGUGUGAAGAAGGUCUUCGGAUUGUAAAGCACUUUAAGUUGGGAGGAAGGGCAGUAAGUUAAUACCUUGCUGUUUUGACGUUACCGACAGAAUAAGCACCGGCUAACUUCGUGCCAGCAGCCGCGGUAAUACGAAGGGUGCAAGCGUUAAUCGGAAUUACUGGGCGUAAAGCGCGCGUAGGUGGUUUUGUAAGUUGGAGGUGAAAUCCCCGGGCUCAACCUGGGAACUGCUUUCAAAACUGCUGAGCUAGAGUACGGUAGAGGGUGGUGGAAUUUCCUGUGUAGCGGUGAAAUGCGUAGAUAUAGGAAGGAACACCAGUGGCGAAGGCGACUACCUGGACUGAUACUGACACUGAGGUGCGAAAGCGUGGGGAGCAAACAGGAUUAGAAACCCGGGUAGUCC